CUUCCUUCUUCAAUGUAGGUAAAUAUUCAUUUAUAUCAAAUUGAUAGGUUAGCUUCAGGUGUUAAUUGAAACAUGGAAAAUAUUGUGUUAUUGUCGUCAUUAUUUGGUAAGUUUAUUAAUGAACAUAUUCAUUUAGUUUCACAUUCAAACUGUAAACGUAAAAGUUUUCAGUUUAAUAUAGGAUACAUGUAUUCAAACAUUUUCUAAUACGUUCUUGGUCAAUUGUAACGUCAUGUGCUGCAUAAUUGUAAAAAGGUCCAAUAUAGAUAUUAGCAAAUAUCAACUAACAAACUGAAGAGAUUGUGCGCCUCUUGCACGUUGAAAUCGUUGAUCGAAGCUUGUUUUAAUGAGGUUUUUUUUGGGGGGGUCAUAAUUAUUAUUUUCAUCUUAUCUGAAAAAAAGAAGUGAAGUCACUGUAAUAGAAAAUAAUGAUUUGUUUUGUACUCUUAUACUAGAUUAAAUCAGACCCAUUUCAGAAAUUAAAAAAAAAAUAUGGUUUUUAAUUUUAGAUUAAUAAACAAUUCAUCUCGAUGUGAAAUAAGAUAUAAUACUCUGUUAACGACCACAGAACAUUUUUAACACCUUAGAAAAAACAAAUAACAUAAAUUAAUUAAAACAUUUUUAAAAGUAAUUCAAGCUAAUUUUAGUACAAUUUUAAUACCCUAACAAAGAUACAAGGUUUAUAAGUAUGAAUGCCAGGAGAGCGUAUCCUCUACAUGACGCUCAAAAAUAGGUGUGAUCAAAUCAUUUAGAAGGCCAAAUCCAAUACGAAGUUGAACAGCAUCAAAAACUAAACAUUUCCGAACAGUUGUGCUAAUUGCACAUAAAACGGUAACACAGUCUAUGUUUACAAAUAAAGCCAAAAAAAUAUUUCUGGGCCUUUUAUAGAUGACUAUGCGUUAUGGGCUCAUUGUUGAAGGUCGUACUGUGACCUAUAGUUGUUAAUUUCUGUGUAAUUUUGGCUCAUUGGCAAUCAAACCACAAUUAUUUUUUUUUAUAUAUACGCAGAUUAGCCUCAUCAGUAUUCAGUGUUCAGAAUAUGCUAUACCAAGGGAGCUUAAAUCCUUGUCCUUUACAAUAACAUGAAUUAUGAAAUUUAAUUUGACAGACAGAAUUAUUAGAUUACUGCCAGGCAAUGUAUUUUGAUUAUUUACAUAAAUUUAACGUAGUUAUCUUUUUUUCUUCCUCUGAAGUUAACGUGUAUGCAGGAUCUUGCUACUACAAACAUAGGGAUCCAACUUACUAUACUUCUACUUAUGAGUACUGCCUUGCUGGCUGUUGUGGCGCCGAUAAACCUGGUGGAUUAAAACAUUGCUGUAAUUCGACAGGGGCUACUAUCGGGAUUGUGAUUGCUAUAGUGGUCUUUGUGGCGUUGGUGCUCACAGCUUUAUACAUGUAUAGACGACGACGACGUAGACUUUUACUCGGUAUACGUAAUGGUAUUCGUUUGAUUGUGUCACUGUCCUUUUCACAACCUGAUCAAUAUGCAGAUCUGCAGAUCCUGCGCCUAAGCUUUGCAUACAAUAACAUAAAACUCCGUUUUUAUUCUGUUCUUGUUACUUUUUCAUCACCCGAUGAAGUUUUCCCUUCAAAAUGUUGAAAAGCAUGUAUCAAUCCAAUAACAAUACAGGAUCCAGAAAGUUAUUUUGAAUAGAGAGUAGAACGGAGAGUUUUCAUAUCCUUUUAUGCAAAAUUUGGAGACAGGAACUGUAUUUAAUUAAAAUUGUCCGUUUGUGCACUUGGUUGGAGGAACAUAUUUAAAGUGUUUUCCGUCCGUUCAACACAUUUGUAAACACUCAGAACUUAUUCAACAAAAACGUCAUGUACGUUUUAUACAAGUUUUUGAAGUUGUAAAAAGAGGCCUUUGUCAAGCCUAAUGACCGUAAUUUGAUUUGACAAUUUCUAUGAAGAUUAUCGGAUUUUUAGUAUGUUAUAACUUGACGCACGUCAUAAUAAUGCAUAAUGUCAAUCAGACUUAUCUGCUUUUAUUCUAGUAUAAACAGGGACUAUUAGUUGUUAAACAUUUAAUUCUUUAUAAUGAUAAUGGGAAAAUUUGUAAAACAAAACUGUUAAUAACUACUCCUGAUUGUUUUUUAAACGAUUUGUUUUUUUCGUAAGUUGAUUUAUAUCAUUUUCUAACUAAGAAUAUAAUUUUCUCAAACUUACUAAAUACCACAACAAACAAAUUACACAUAAAAUCAAAUAAAAAAACUUUAAAUUAAUAUAAAAGGUUAAAUCACUUAAAUAUUAAACUCCGAUUAAAACUCAAAACGGAAAGUCCCUAAUUAAAUGGCAAAAUCAAAUGAUAAAACAUAUCAAACGAACGGACAACAACUGACUUGGUACAUGUAUUUUCAAAUGUAGAAAAUGUUGGAUUGAGCCUGGUUUGAUAGCGCUAAACCUCUCACUUGUAUGACAGUCGCAUAAAAUUCCAUAAAAUUUACAACGAUGCGUAAACAAAACAUAAAUAAUAGGUGAAACAAUCAAAAAAUAGGUACAGCAGUCAUCAUUGUGUCACAAUCUCAAAACAAAAAAGUAUUUUGAAACAAAGCACAAAAGCAUCUAUCAAAUUUAAAAAAAAAACAAAACACAUUCAUUGCUUCGCGUGUUUGACGUCAGAAUAUCAUAUUUAAACAUUUUUGUUUUGUAGCUGGAUCGACAGAACGAGACAGAUUGGUGAUACCAGGUUCUCAGUCAACAGAUGGUCAUACACACUUUCAGAGACAAGCAAAGAAUAUUUACCAGUAAACAGAAACAGAUCCCAGAAAUGUGUGUCCACCAAGAAGUACUAUAUAAAGUCCGUACAACAGACAUAAUACUACUUUGUUAUUAAUAAACUCAUUCUAGAUACUAAGCUUUAAACAUUGUUCGCCAGACGUAUGUUUUGUCUAUAAAACUCAUCAAAUAAAAAAGGUCAAAUAAAGUAUCAAGACGCAAUAUUAUAAAUUUAUAUUUUAAAGACACACUUAGUGUUUUCUAAACUUUAUAUUGUUUCUCUGAUGCUUUUUUCCACUGUUUAGCUCUGUAAUGUUGGUAAUGAUAAAAAAAAUCCGCGAUAACAUGUCUUGUUAAUGGUAAUAAUGAAUAACAAAUAAUGUUUAUUCAAUAAAUUUUAAAUGUGGUUCGUAUGGUGUUUCUCGUUUCUCAAUUUUUUUUAUAGAUUAAAAACGGAAAGUCCCUAAUCAAAUGUCAAAAUCAAACGAUAAAAUACAUCAAACGAAUGGACAGCAAACAGAACUAUUUUCAAUUAGUCAUUUUGUAGCCCAGUUUAAGGCCGUACUUUGGCAUAUAAUUGUUAAAUAAUUAAUUAGUGUGACUUUGAAGGAGAAUGUCUCAUUAAUACCCAUACGACAUCUUCUUAUUAAGGAUUUCAAUAAAAACGAUUCAUGCAAACAUAUCGAGCAAACCUUACAUCUAUUUACAUAUAACACUGUUGAGACAAUCUCUUCAGAAAAUUGUAAAAAAAUAAAAACAAAAACAACAAGAUAACGUCUUUUAACGAAUAAAACAUUUUGGAACUUUUUUUGAAAUCUGAAUAUAAACUUUUACAUCAAAAGACAUACAACCAAACUAUUAAGACAAGUACGACAACCGGUGUUGGAGUUGUUGUCACAGUUAUGUUGAUUUUAGCUGCGUUUUUGCAAACAUUUUAUUGUCAAUCGGAUUUUCAAAAGCGAGGGUGGUUGAAAGUAGUCCGUUAAUUAAACAAAUACGUAGCGCACAUUGAAACUUUUCUGUAGGGUGCUUUAUUCUAGGAGACAGAGUUUACUCAAACUCACCCUGCUUUAUUCGGUCCAUAUUUAAAGAUGUUUAUGUAUUCUUGUUGAAAGUGUGAAUGCUACAUCACCUACAAAACUGAUAGUUACAUAGUUCUUUAAAUUCCUUUCCCAAAGUAAAAAGCAAAAAAUUGGAAAAAUAAAAACCGAAGAAAACAUAUACAGCAUUCCAUAAAAACUAAAGAAAACUUAUUGUUUAUAUAAAUACUAACAAAGAAAAUUAGAACUGCCAUGAGAACAAAAAAUCAAAAAUAAUUAAAAACAUUACAGAACAUCUUUUUUUUUUUUUUUUUUUUUUUGCAAAUAUCUAUUUCAAUGUUUCCCUUUAGAUACCUUCUUGGCUUGAUUUGUUAAGCUAGAAUAUUAAUUAGUUAUGAUGAUUUAAGGUCAAGAAGUAAUCAUUUGGAUUUCAGAGUUGGGGCCGGAUCCGAUAAUGGUUAUUUUUUCAAAUCUAAACUAGAGGCGUUCUCGCCUAGAUUAGUUUUACCACAUGUUUGCGAAAGACCUUCUUCCAUUCUAAAGUUCUAUUUUUACCUUUUUCAUAAAUGUAGUACAAAAAUCGAAAUAAUGUUGUCAUGUUUAUCAAAAUCUUUAUACGAUUUCUGUCCUGCGUCUAAAUAUUUUAUAUUCUUUGCCAUAAUUUAUUGAUCAAUUAGAUUUUCAACGAUUUUAUAUAUCAAGUCAAUAUAAUGUAUCCACGACUAAAAAUGGUCUAUUAAAUUCCAAAAUGUAUAUAUUUCUUAUGUUAAAAAAAUUUCAAUCGGAAGGAGAUCACAGCCUGUCCAUAAUUAUUGAAUAAAUGAAUGCUGCCACUUUUUCUCGUUACAGCAAGUAACGUCAAGUUAGGUCAAUUUUCGUUCGUUCAUAAGAUGUUGAUAAACCUCUUAUCAACUACAUGAUAACAGCUGAUACCCUAUAAUUAUUUAAGUGUCAUAUUAAGGUGUGAUACGAUUAAACCUCUUUCUUAAAUAUAGUUAAAUAUUCAUUUACAUAAAAUUGAUAGGUUAUAUGUAAGGUGUUUAUUAAAACAUGGAAAAUUUUGUGUUGUUAUCAUUAAUUGGUAAGUUAAUUAACUAAUAUGUUGGUUUUUUUUUUUCAUUUUGUUUUACAUUUAAACUCUUAAGGUAGUGUUUUCAGUUCAAUUUGCGGAUACAUGUAUUCAGACAUUUUCUAAUAAAUACUUGUACAAAUUUAACGUCAUGCGCUGCUUUUAAAAUUGUAAAAUGACCCAAAAUGAUUGAUCAUAUAUUUUGUUUAAAUAUUUACAAAUAUCAGAUAAUUUUAAAAGUUAAGAGGUUAUGCGCCUCGUGCAUCUUGAAAUCGUUGAUUGAAGUUUGUAUUUAUUAAUUUUGGUUUUGUUGGUUUUAUUUAAAAAAAAAAAAAGUAGUUACUGGAGUAGAAAAAGAUGAUUUUAUGUACUUUCUACUACCUAAUUGUCAGACCCAUUACAGAAAUUGAAAAAAACAAAAAGCAAACAUGGUUUUUAUUUUCAGAUUAAAAAACAAUUGAUCUCGACGUCAAGUAAGAAAAAAUACAAUGUUAACGACGACAGAACGCUUUUAACACCUUAGACAGUAACAGAAAAAACACAAAUUAAUUAAAACAUUUUAUUGUAUUUAUUAAUUUUUGUACUGUGGUGCAGAAGUAUUAUUUUUAUCUACUAAUAAUUUGAAAAAAAGUGAAGUUUCUGUAAUAGAAAACGGUGAUUUGUUUUGCAUUCUUCUACUAGAUUCAAUGAGACCCAUUUCAAACUAAAAAAUACCAACAAGUAUGUUUCUUCUUAUCAGAUGAACAAACAAUUCAUCAUUAAUUUUUUUUUUUUAUUUAUAAGCAGAUUAGUUUAGUUUAGUUUAAACAUAUUUAAUUAUAGUGGAUUGGGAAACAAGUUUUGCAACUUAUAUUAAUCCCUUUCCACUUUGCGGAUGCGAGUACUGCCUUGUAGCGGCAUUAGCCUGCUCUUUUUCGAAAUCUACAAGGGUGUCUUUAACGUGCAAGAGAUGUGGCUCUCUCUUAACACGGAUCAGCCAUUUAUCGUCCCUUUCUGACGGACUAUCAUCGUUUCCUCAAGACCAUACCCGCAAGCAGAUUAGCCACAUCAAACUAGUAUUCAAAAUAUGUUAGUAUACCAAAGGAGCCUGAAACCUUGUCUAAUACAAUAACAUGAUUAUGAAAUUUAAUUUGACCGACAGAAUUAUUAGAUUACUACCAGGCAAUGCGAUGAUGCAUUUUGAUAGUUUACGUAAAUUUAUCGUAGUUUUUUAUUCUUCCUCUGAAGGUAACGUGUAUGCAGGAUCUUGCUACUACGAACAUACGGAUCCAACUUACUAUACCUCUACUUAUGAGUACUGCCUUGCUGGCUGCUGUGGCGCCGAUAAACUUGGUGGAUUAAAACAUUGCUGUAACUCGACAGGGGCUACUAUCGGGAUUCUGAUUGCUAUAGUGGUCUUCGUGGCGUUGGUGCUCACAGCUUUAUACAUGUAUAGACGACGACGUAGACUUUUACUCG
rnacentral:lncRNA from 1 species